GACGAACGCUGGCGGCGUGCUUAACACAUGCAAGUCGAGCGGUAAGGCCCUUUCGGGGGUACACGAGCGGCGAACGGGUGAGUAACACGUGGGUGACCUGCCCUCGGCACCGGAAUAGCCCGGGGAAACUCGGAUUAAUGCCGGAUAGCCCCACAUCCUCUCGGGGAACGUGGGAAAAGGUAGCUUCGGCCUCUGGCCGGGGAUGGGUCCGCGGUGGAUUAGCUUGUUGGCGGGGUAACGGCCCACCAAGGCGACGAUCCANAGCUGGUCUGAGAGGACGAUCAGCCACACUGGGACUGAGACACGGCCCAGACUCCUACGGGAGGCAGCAGUGGGGAAUCUUGCGCAAUGGGCGAAAGCCUGACGCAGCGACGCCGCGUGCGGGAAG
rnacentral:rRNA from 1 species